UAGGGAAUAUUGGACAAUGGGGGCAACCCUGAUCCAGCCAUGCCGCGUGAGUGAAGAAGGCCCUCGGGUUGUAAAGCUCUUUUGUCCGGAAAGAAAAGCUUCGGGUUAAUACCCCGGGGUUCUGACGGUACCGGAAGAAUAAGCACUGGCUAACUUCGUGCCAGCAGCCGCGGUAAUACGAAGGGUGCAAGCGUUAAUCGGAAUUACUGGGCGUAAAGCGUGCGCAGGCGGUUUUGUAAGACAGAGGUGAAAUCCCCGGGCUCAACCUGGGAACUGCCUUUGUGACUGCAAAGCUGGAGUGCGGCAGAGGUGGAUGGAAUUCAGCGUGAAGCAGUGAAAUGCGUAGAUAUGCGGAGGAACACCGAUGGCGAAGGCAAUCCCCUGGGCCUGCACUGACGCUCAUGCACGAAAGCGUGGGGAGCAAAC
rnacentral:rRNA from 1 species